CUGCUUUAGAGCACCUGUUACAGGGACCCUGGACCUCAAGAGGACUUGGGAUCGACCUCCCCACCAAACUGACUGAGGACUGUGUAUUCUGCUGAUCUUCUGCAUAGCAACAGACCUGGUUUACCUUCAGAGACUCAUCAAACUAUCUGAGAGAAUGCAAUUCCUUUAAGAUCUCUUUUCUCUGUGUGUGUGUUUUUAAAUAUACUCUUGCAUUUUAGUAGUUAAUUGAGAUGGGAUUCAUGCAUGAGAGAUUUACUGAAUUUGUAUCUGAUUAGCCAGGGCCACUUUAUACUCUGUAAUUGUAGAUGUGGUUUUUAAACUGACAAUUGUAAGUUUGCAUGUAUUCUUUUUCUCCUAACUCUGUUUAGACUUUGUAUUCAGGAUAGAAAUUACCUUUUCUAAGAAGUUUUACCAAGCUGAGUGUAAAUCUAUAAUACCUCAGCAGUAAAACAAUCCCAGAGGGAUAAUUUUGUGCAACCAUUUCAAUCUUGAUACCAAUUAAAAUGGUAUGAUCUAUCUCACCGCCAUCACACAAAACAGGUUUCUAUGCCAUCUCCUCACCUCUUGCUUAGAGAAAACCAUCAGAUUGGUUCUAUUACACUCAGAUUUAAGAUCAAACAUCUUUUUUUCAGAGCUUUAUGGAUUCUAAUAACAAUAGAAAGUACUGAAAUAAGCCUAUUUUCGUGGCUGCCUUUCAAUCAGUAUGUAACACACUUUCCAUUUUGUC
rnacentral:lncRNA from 10 species